rnacentral:rRNA from 1 species
GUAGGGAAUUUUCGGCAAUGGGGGGAACCCUGACCGAGCAACGCCGCGUGAAGGAAGAAGGAAUUCGUUCUGUAAACUUCUGUUAUAAAGGAAGAAAGAGGGAUAGAGGAAAUGCUAUCCGAGUGACGGUACUUUAUGAGAAAGCCACGGCUAACUACGUGCCAGCAGCCGCGGUAAUACGUAGGUGGCAAGCGUUAUCCGGAAUUAUUGGGCGUAAAGAGGGAGCAGGCGGCAGCAGGGGUCUGUGGUGAAAGACUGAAGCUUAACUUCAGUAAGCCAUAGAAACCAGGCAGCUAGAGUGCAGGAGAGGAUCGUGGAAUUCCAUGUGUAGCGGUGAAAUGCGUAGAUAUAUGGAGGAACACCAGUGGCGAAGGCGACGAUCUGGCCUGUAACUGACGCUCAGUCCCGAAAGCGUGGGGAGCAAAUAGGAUUAGAAACCCCUGUAGUCC